GUCCUUUCGGUUUUUUGGAAGGUCUGGCCUGCCCAGUGAAAAUAUAUUUAACGGCCGCGGUAUUUUGACCGUGCAAAGGUAGCAUAAUCAUUAGUCUUUUAAUAGGAGGCUGGUAUGAAAGGUUUAACGAAACAUAAACUGUCUUAUUUAUAAAUUUAUAAUUUAACUUUUAAGUCAAAAGGCUUAAAUUUUUUUGGAGGACGAGAAGACCCUAUAGAGCUUUACAUUAUUUUAUUUUUAAUAUUUAUUUGUUAUAUAAUUUAAUAUUAAUUUUAAUAUUGUUUUGUUGGGGUGACAAUAAAUACAUGAUUAACUUUUAUUAUUUAAUUUACAUUAAUUUAUGAAUUUUUGGAUCCAGUAUUAUUGAUCAUUAGAUUAAGUUACCUUAGGGAUAACAGCGUAAUCUUCUUUCAGAGUUCAAAUUUACAAGAAGGCUUGCGACCUCGAUGUUGGAUUAAGAUAAUAAUUAGGUGCAGUAGCUUAAUUAAUAGGUCUGUUCGACCUUUAAAUUCUUACAUGAUCUGAGUUCAGACCGG
rnacentral:rRNA from 1 species